CCCUUAGAUGUCCUGGGCCGCACGCGCGUUACACUGAUGCAUUCAACGAGCUUAUAACCUUGGCCGAGAGGCCUGGGCAAUCUUGAUAACGUGCAUCGUGAUAGGGAUAGAUUAUUGAAAUUAUUAAUCUUGAACGAGGAAUUCCUAGUAAACGCAGAUCAUCAAUCUGCAUUGAUUACGUCCCUGCCCUUUGUACACACCGCCCGUCGCACCUACCGAUUGGAUGGUCCGGUGAAGCCUCGGGAUUGUGGUUCUUGCCGCUUUAUUGUGGCGUGACCGCGAGAACUUGUCUAAACCUUAUCAUCUAGAGGAAGGUGAAGUCGUAACA
rnacentral:rRNA from 1 species